rnacentral:rRNA from 1 species
UGGCGGACGGGUGAGUAACGCGUGGGUAACCUGCCUUAUACCGGGGGAUAACAGCCAGAAAUGACUGCUAAUACCGCAUAAGCGCACAGAACCGCAUGGUUCGGUGUGAAAAACUCCGGUGGUAUAAGAUGGACCCGCGUUGGAUUAGCUAGUUGGUGAGGUAACGGCCCACCAAGGCGACGAUCCAUAGCCGGCCUGAGAGGGUGAACGGCCACAUUGGGACUGAGACACGGCCCAG